CACAGUAAUUCCAUAGGAGAGCGGUAAACAUGUUCACAGCAGCAGCAGCCUGUCAAUCCAUCUACAGCUAUAUUCUCUUCUGUGUACUGCUAGAAGCCACAACUGGGAGGAGUUAAGCAUAGAGAACUGUCAUUAAGUACUUCCAGAAGCUUGAGGGACACUGACAUGACGAAAAUGCCAAGCAGAAAGUACUGAUGGGAAGGAACAAAGGAUGUAUCAGCGGGGGAACUGCAAGCAAGCCAAUAUGAACACCAUAAGAAUGCUGCAGUCAAUGGCUGCUCAAAUUAGCGUUUAAUUAAUAAUAGGAUACCUUGCAGUUCAAUACGACCAAGGGGGAAGAGUGCAGGCAGAAGAAAAACAGUUGAACAUUUUAGAACUGUGUACUAAUGAUUUUUCACUGAUUGUUUCAGUCAA